UGCAGUCGAACGAUGAAGCCCUUCGGGGUGGAUUAGUGGCGAACGGGUGAGUAACACGUGGGCAAUCUGCCCUUCACUCUGGGACAAGCCCUGGAAACGGGGUCUAAUACCGGAUAUGACCAUCUUGGGCAUCCUUGAUGGUGUAAAGCUCCGGCGGUGAAGGAUGAGCCCGCGGCCUAUCAGCUUGUUGGUGAGGUAAUGGCUCACCAAGGCGACGACGGGUAGCCGGCCUGAGAGGGCGACCGGCCACACUGGGACUGAGACACGGCCCAGACUCCUACGGGAGGCAGCAGUGGGGAAUAUUGCACAAUGGGCGAAAGCCUGAUGCAGCGACGCCGCGUGAGGGAUGACGGCCUUCGGGUUGUAAACCUCUUUCAGCAGGGAAGAAGCGAGAGUGACGGUACCUGCAGAAGAAGCGCCGGCUAACUACGUGCCAGCAGCCGCGGUAAUACGUAGGGCGCAAGCGUUGUCCGGAAUUAUUGGGCGUAAAGAGCUCGUAGGCGGCUUGUCACGUCGGGUGUGAAAGCCCGGGGCUUAACCCCGGGUCUGCAUUCGAUACGGGCUAGCUAGAGUGUGGUAGGGGAGAUCGGAAUUCCUGGUGUAGCGGUGAAAUGCGCAGAUAUCAGGAGGAACACCGGUGGCGAAGCGGAUCUCUGGGCCAUUACUGACGCUGAGGAGCGAAAGCGUGGGGAGCGAACAGGAUUAGAUACCCUGGUAGUCCACGCCGUAAACGGUGGGAACUAGGUGUUGGCGACAUUCCACGUCGUCGGUGCCGCAGCUAACGCAUUAAGUUCCCCGCCUGGGGAGUACGCCGCAAGCUAAAACUCAAAGGAAUUGACGGGGCCCGCACAAGCAGCGGA
rnacentral:rRNA from 1 species